AUUGAACGCUGGCGGCAUGCCUUACACAUGCAAGUCGAACGGUAACGCGGGGGCAACCCUGGCGACGAGUGGCGAACGGGUGAGUAAUACAUCGGAACGUACCUGGUAGUGGGGGAUAGCCCGGCGAAAGCCGGAUUAAUACCGCAUACGCACCACGGUGGAAAGCGGGGGACCGCAAGGCCUCGCGCUAUCAGAGCGGCCGAUGGCAGAUUAGCUAGUUGGUGGGGUAAAAGCCUACCAAGGCGACGAU
rnacentral:rRNA from 1 species